rnacentral:rRNA from 1 species
GAUGAACGCUGGCGGCGUGCCUAACACAUGCAAGUCGAGCGAUUCUCUUCGGAGAAGAGCGGCGGACGGGUGAGUAACGCGUGGGUAACCUGCCCUGUACACACGGAUAACAUACCGAAAGGUAUGCUAAUACGAGAUAAUAUGCUUUUAUCGCAUGGUAGAGGUAUCAAAGCUUUUGCGGUACAGGAUGGACCCGCGUCUGAUUAGCUAGUUGGUAAGGUAACGGCUUACCAAGGCGACGAUCAGUAGCCGACCUGAGAGGGUGAUCGGCCACAUUGGAACUGAGACACGGUCCAAACUCCUACGGGAGGCAGCAGUGGGGAAUAUUGCACAAUGGGCGAAAGCCUGAUGCAGCAACGCCGCGUGAGCGAUGAAGGCCUUCGGGUCGUAAGCUCUGUCCUCAAGGAAGAUAAUGACGGUACUUGAGGAGGAAGGACCCCGGCUAACUACGUG